GAUCAUCCUUGAAUAGCUUUUGCAUUUCCACCUCGUGCAUAAAGGCUGAAGCAGUGGUAUCUUUGCCAUCUUUAGAAAGCAAUGGCCCCUUUGCCACAUACUCUGCCUUCUUCUCUGAAUCCUUCACAGCCACCCAUGUGUUUGCUCGAUAGCCGGGAAGCUGGGUUCCUAAGGGCCGAACAAGUUCAUACUUUCCACCACUCUCACCGAUGCAAGUCAAACCCGGAGUAAGUAUUGUCGAAUAGCUGGCGACCGUAUAACCAAAACUGAGUUUGAGUGGAUGAGGAAGAGAAUGAGUAAACAAAGGUUUUAGUGGAAAUUUUGAGCAAAAUAAUGGCAGCGCCAUGACGGGAACAACAGGUGUGUGGUUGAGGUGAGCGCGUAACAAGAUAUUCUUAAUCUCAAUUCUGUAACAACUGCGAU
rnacentral:sRNA from 2 species